GCCACGCCCGCUCAAGAAACUACAAAGGAAUUGGACCGGGACCCGCACAAGCGGUGGAGGAUGUGGUUUAAUUCGACGCAACGCGAAGAACCUUACCUAGGCUUGACAUGCUGGCGAAAACCGUGGAAACACGGUCCUCCCGCAAGGGACGCUAGUACAGGUGGUGCAUGGCUGUCGUCAGCUCGUGUCGUGAGAUGUUGGGUUAAGUCCCGCAACGAGCGCAACCCUUACCCUUAGUUGUUUUCCCGAAAGGAUUACCCUCUAAGGGGACUGCCCCGGACAACGGGGAGGAAGGUGGGGAUGACGUCAAGUCCGCAUGCUCCUUACGUCUAGGGCUACACACGUCCUACAAUGGGGUCGACAGUGGGAUGCAAAGCCGCGAGGUGGAGCCAAUCCCCAAACGGCCUCUCAGUUCGGAUAGUAGUCUGCAACUCGACUACUUGAAGUCGGAAUCGCUAGUAAUGGCGGAUCAGCAUGCCGCCGUGAAUACGUUCCCGGGUCUU
rnacentral:rRNA from 1 species